rnacentral:rRNA from 1 species
AUGAUGAAACAAUUCAAGUUUAUGGUUGAAGCAGUCAUCCAUCCAGCAUUUGCUAGGUAUAUCCUGAUCAGCCCUAGCCAUAGCCGGUAUGAACAACAGUUUGAUAGAUAUUCUGGAUGCUAUUUCAAAUCCGGGAAAACUGCUGUUGGUACUGCUGUAACGAUCAUUAGCAUUUCAGUUGCUGUGCCCUUUGUGUUAGCAUGUGUCUUUAGCAUUACAAGAUCCCUUUCCACAGUGGCUCCUGAAGGACUGUUCAUGUUGCUCCGGUACAAGAGUCAUUCGUCAGGUGCACCAUCGACAGCAGCUUUGCAUUCACCAUGCCUCCCUGAGACAGCAAAAUAUGUUUUCGUGUCAACAUCUUGCGCAUUUGUUUAG